UACAGAGGUCUCAAGCGUUGUUCGGAUUCAUUGGGCGUAAAGGGUGCGUAGGCGGCGCGGUAAGUCGGGUGUGAAAUUUCGGAGCUUAACUCCGAAACUGCAUUCGAUACUGCCGUGCUUGAGGACUGGAGAGGAGACUGGAAUUUACGGUGUAGCAGUGAAAUGCGUAGAGAUCGUAAGGAAGACCAGUGGCGAAGGCGGGUCUCUGGGCCGUAACUGACGCUGAGGAGCGAAAGCGUGGGGAGCGAACAGG
rnacentral:rRNA from 1 species